UUGUUACACACUUAGAGCUAGGCCGUGGGUGCAUUCUCUCAUCCAAUAUCAUAUAGGAAACCUCCGGAGAGAAGCAAGCAGAGAGGUCAUGCCCUGAUGUCUCGGAUGUGAAUAACUAUUUUUGCGCGGGACUGCCUUCCUGAACAAAGCAAGCGGCGUUGUUUCAUUUUUGUGCGCGCCUUUUGAGGUUGGAUGACCAACGUAUGUGUUUCAUAUAAAAAACAAACAAAAAACCCUGAAUAUAACAGUUACGAAAGAAAACGCCAGCUUGAGUACGCUCGAUUAAACAACAUGGGGAACUCUGGAUUUUGGAAAGGGCUGUAUCGUGAGGAGUGAGGAGCUGUCGGACGUAGAACUUGCAAG
rnacentral:misc_RNA from 1 species